AUUUUAAAUUUAAAGUUUCCCGCGCGCAAACGUCAUUGAGCCGGACCGUGACAAAAUGAAUUUAUGAUCUAUGGUAAAAUAAGUAGCUACGUAAUUCUAUGAUGUAGGUAGGUAUAACCUCAAAGCGUCUCAUAUUUGUGAAAAAAACAGUUAAUGAUAUUAAAUAUAAAAUACAUACCAAACCAUUGUUAAUGAUACAAGGAUAAUCUAAUUAUGAUUUAGGAACCGACAUUGUGAUUAAUAACAUUAGGUAAAUGUCGUUUCUUUCUUGCGGAGAAACUCAAUUUGUGUUUGAUUGACUGUGUGUCGUCCAAAUCACAGAAAUAUUGGAAUAAUUAAUCAUAAAUAAUAAAAUAUUACUAUUAGUAGACAUCGUAUCUUGUGUUUUAGGUUAUAUGGAAUGGAAGCGAAGAUUCAGCCGCUAGAGAUUAUGAUAAAAAUUCCACCGAGUCACAUAAAACUCUAUUCUUAGAACUGACAGGACAGAAAAUGAAUGGUCAAAGGCAAAGAGAAAACCCCAGUAGCCACAUGAAACCAUGAGCAGACAAAUUGAAACUCUGCAAUUUGACUAACCAUUUUAUUCUACUUAUUAUUUGAAACUUUAUUAGGUAGGUAACUACUUCAAUUGAAAGUCAAAAUACUGACU